rnacentral:rRNA from 1 species
CCUACGGGAGGCAGCAGUGGGGAAUAUUGGGCAAUGGACGCAAGCCUGACCCAGCAACGCCGCGUGCAGGAAGAAGGCUUUCGGGUUGUAAACUUCUUUUGUCAGGGAAGAGUAGAAGACGGUACCUGACGAUUAAGCCACGGCUAACUACGUGCCAGCAGCCGCGGUAAUACGUAGGUGGCAAGCGUUGUCCGGAUUUACUGGGUGUAAAGGGCGUGUAGCCGGGUUGACAAGUCAGAUGUGAAAUCCUGCGGCUUAACCGCAGAACUGCAUUUGAAACUGUUGUUCUUGAGUACUGGAGAGGCAGGUGGAAUUCCUAGUGUAGCGGUGAAAUGCGUAGAUAUUAGGAGGAACACCAGUGGCGAAGGCGGUCUGCUGGACAGCAACUGACGGUGAGGCGCGAAAGCGUGGGGAGCAAACAGGAUUAGAUACCCUUGUAGUC